GUAAAGGAAGCAAUGAAAAAGUAACAGCCAUAAACCAGAAGCCCAUGGAUGAAAAGUCUCCCAGUUCUCUUUCAUGAAAGACAAUGAGAGAUGAACAGCCUUUUUGAUAAUCGGAAAGGCUUAGUCAUAGAAAGGUAGUAGAGAAGAGCCCUGCGAACGUCCAAAGAGUGCAGAGCCUUUUCCAGCGGUGUGGUUGGAGAUUUGAAGAAAGUGGGCAGUACAACAUCCUGGUUGAUGUGGAAGUCCGAGACAAUCUUAGGCAGCAGACCACUGCUUGAUGCCCUCGACACUCCUGGCCCAGCCCCGAUCCGCUACUGCCACCCCCUGUGGAGGACGGCGACCCCACACCAUGCCGUCGUGCUGGCGCUGCUGGUGGUACUGCUGCUGGUCACCCUCCCAGUCUGCACAGAAUAAGCAAGGCUUAAGCAGUCCCUGACAAGCUGGGGAAAGGGCCCAAUUCUUUCAACAGUUCUCCCAGGCCAAAGCUGGCCCCUCAGGAGCUGAUACUGUGAGAAGAGGAGCUCUUACCCCUGGACUUCUGGGCCUCCACACUAAGGAUGUGCAUGGAACUGGUGGGGGCCGGUCUGAUGGCAGGGUGGUGGUGGCAGCACCCCCCCCCCAAUUUCUCCCACUGGCGCACGUCUCACUAAAAGUCUGUCAGGGCGGCCGUGUACCUCCCUGCCACUCCACUCUGACACUAUCUGGAAGUAACCAGAAGUAGCAGCUGCGACUGUGCACGCGCACGAA